AAAAGUUGAAUAAUGAAUUUCCCAUUUGCAGAAAAUCUGAUAAAGAAACACACUGCUGCCUGUGAGUCAUCUAUUGCCACACAUGAACCACAGUCAAUGGUGGACAACACAAGUGCCAUUGCCCGUCUUGCCAAUCGGGUACUAAUGGUAGCAAAACAAGAGGCUGAUAAUUCUGAGGAUCCUGGAUUUGUAGCCAAAAGUCAAUGCUGCUUACUGACCAACUACAAGCAGCUGUAACACCAAUGGUACAAAAUGCAAAGGAUGUAGCAAUGAACCCAGAUGAUCAGAGAGCCAUAAGCAGAUGGCGACAGUCCAACCAAGCUUUACUGACUGCAUUUGGGCGAAGGGGUCGG